GUCCUGACAGUUAUUUCGAAAAUUAAGGUGCAUGGAUGGUAUCCUGGGUAUAAUGGCGUCGUUAAAAUUUUAUCGUCGCUUGUCUUUUACGGGGGAAUCGGUUUAAGGCUACUGGGAAUUAGAGAAGUGUACGAGGGGUGUUAAUUAAAGCGGUGAAAGAUGUAAGAGGAAAUAUUAUGUCGUGAUGUAAUGCUUCACUUAUGACGAUGUAAGUAACCUGGAAUUGUAUUAAAAUCAUGAAAUCAGCCAAAUCAUAGUGGUAAGUCAACUGAACAUUUUAAUUGCAAGCAUAACACGAUUUCGAGCAAUAUAUUUAUGCAAUAGAAAUGUCAGUAUAUAAUAGAGCAAUUCGAUAAUAGACGUUUAAGAAAUCUUAUCAACUAAUAGACGUUAAGUAUAUACAUGUAAGUUGAAUGCAUUGUAUGCCUGGUUAUAAAAUAUAUCUAAAUUGGACGAGAAAUUAAAAAGAGCAGAAUACGUAUCUCUGGAAAAAGAUAACUUUACAGAUUUUCUCGACGACUGUAACUAACUAUAGAAAGUUCUGCGACUAAAAGUAUAUAUUACGACCUCUCAACCAGGUGACGAUCAGUCAUGUUGUAACUGUUCGGUUGAGGUCGCAAACCCUGAACGAUAUUAACGUUCAAGGUGGAGGGAAAUUAAAGGAUUUCUGUAUUUAUAGAUUUUAUUUGAAGUGUUUAGUAUAAACGUAAGAGUAUGGAACGUAAGUAAUAGAGUUUAAAUAUGCGACGAGUGCGUGAUGAGUCUUUUUCUCUCGAAGCGCCUGGUGUUUAUAUUUUAAAUGUCAGUGUAGAGGGUGUGUUGUCGUCAACGUUUCCUGUGAAGUGGGAGUCUGUGUCUGUUCAGUCCUGUGACUGUCGAACUGUCGUUGGCGUCUCGCAUGUGGUGCGUUCUGUAUCUACCUGGCCGAGGAUGCGGAGCAUAACGUCUAGUUAACGACAUCGUCCUUGGUCUGUUGUCGAGUUCUCAUCUGGUCGAAGUUGACACGUCGUUUGCUGUUGAGCGGAUCCGUCGAGCGCUUAACACUAGAUUUACGGGACCUGUCAAUUUAACGGAUUUCAAACUUCGAAAUGAAAUACCAUUUUGCAUCGUAAAUUAAUCAUUUCAUCCAAAGAAUUUAUACACACAAUUAUUUUAUGUUUGGUUGUGUAACUAGUGCUUUCGAAUUGAUAAUUGACAGACACAUAAUGGAGCACAUAAAAGAUUGCGCUGAAACCGAGGCGCAUCGAGUUUUGAAAAAAGACGUGACGUAGUUUUCUAAGAAUUCUAUAUGCCCGGGGCGCAUAUGAAGCGAGAUCAUUGAAAGCUUCCGAAAGAUUACAAACAGAUAAAUUUGCGCUGACAUCCGAAAUAUGGAACAGGCUUGUUAUAAGCCUUAUGAAAAUAUCUCAAUAGAUGAAUAAUUAUUUCCAACGAAAGUGCGAUGCAGGUUUACGCAAUAUAUGUCGAAUAAGCCUCAUAAAUUUGGCAUUAAGUUUUGGUUAGCAGUUGAGUCCAAACAAAAUAUAUUUUGAAUGGUAUCCCUUAUAUGGGGAAAGAUGAAACUCGAUGCUCAAAAUCGUUGGGCAAGUUUGUAACAUUAAAAUUAGCCGAACCAUAUUUAAACGAGGCAGAAAUAUAACGACAGAUAAUUUCUUUACAAGCAUCCCGCUAUCUAAAAAAUUACUUGCAGAAAAAACAACCUUGGCAAAAAAGGACAAAAUGACUUUGUUUUUCUCACAUUUAUGUAAAUCAGAAAACUGCACGCUUACUGUGUAUAAAAGUAAACCUAACGUAAAAGUCCUCCCUCUAAACACCAAACAUACAGGUGUACAAGUAGAAGACAAUUGUAAACGUGUUCCAGAAAUCAUUACUUUUUAUAAUAAAACAAAGUUUGGCGUGGAUCGUUGUUGUGGUGUGUCGUUGACCAGAUGGCACGCAAAUAUAGUGUGAAAGCAGGGAGUUUCCGAUGGCCCCUUUAAGCUUUUUUCAAUAUUUUAGAUUUGGCAGCGAUAAACGCGUGGAUAUUAUGUAAAGAGUACACCGGAUCGAAAAUAUCCAGAAAGCAGUUCAUAUUUUAUUUAGCCGAGGAAUUAGCUGGAGAAAACAAGAAGAACAUUUACCAAAGAUCAGAUGCUUUAUUUCUGUCACCUUCAACGUCAGAAGUGCGAAGAAGUUGUGGGCAAGUGGGUUACUGCAAAAAGAAAAUAGAAGCAAUAAUUGUUGUAUAUAUUGCAAAAAGAUCGUAUGCGGAAAAUGCACAAACAAAAUUCAGUAUAUUUGUAAAAAAUGUGCUCAAUAAAUAUGAUUACCCUAUACCGUUAA